GUCAGGAUGGCCGAGUGGUCUAAGGCGCCAGACUCAAGCGAAAAGCUUCGCAGUUUUCCCGCACUGUGUUCCUCAGCUACACCUGAGCGUUCUGGUCCUCGUCUGAGGGCGUGGGUUCAAAUCCCACUCCUGACA
rfam:Asian citrus Psyllid, Diaphorina citri - Florida Strain, whole genome shotgun sequence.